ACUCAAAGGAAUAGACGGGGGCCCGCACAAGCGGCGGAGCGUGCGGUUUAAUUCGACGCAACGCGCAGAACCUUACCAGGGCUUGACAUGCGCCUGCAGAGCCGGGAAACCGGUUGGCCUUCGAGGGUGGCGCACAGGUGCUGCAUGGCUGUCGUCAGCUCGUGUCGUGAGAUGUUGGGUUAAGUCCCGCAACGAGCGCAACCCCCGUGGUCAGUUGCGGAUGUUUCUGACCAGACUGCCGGCAGCAAACCGGAGGAAGGUGGGGAUGACGUCAAGUCAGCAUGGCCCUUACGUCCUGGGCUACACGCACGCUACAAUGGCCGGGACAACGGGUUGCCAAACCGCAAGGUGGAGCCAAUCCCCCAAACCCGGUCUCAGUUGGAAUUGUGGGCUGCAACCCGCCCACAUGAACGUGGAGUCGCUAGUAACCGUGGGUCAGCACUACCGCGGUGAAUACGUUCCCGGGCCUUGUACACACCGCCCGU
rnacentral:rRNA from 1 species